ACAAUUGGUAUCAAUUACGAUUUAAUGAACGCAAAUAUGGGCUCUUUCACACAUCAUCAUCGCAGUCUCUACACAUCACUGAGUAUAUUGUUAAUUGUAUUGUCAAUAGUAAAUGGUGCCCAAAUACCAACAAAAAGUAAGUAUUUA